rnacentral:rRNA from 1 species
CCUUAGAGUUUGAUCCUGGCUCAGGAUGAACGCUGGCGGCGUGCCUAACACAUGCAAGUCGAACGGAGCCUUAACCAAAGAAGCAGCCAGCUUGCUGGAAGCGGAAAAGGGAAAGGCUUAGUGGCGGACGGGUGAGUAACGCGUGGGUAACCUGGCCCAUACGGGGGGAUAACGCUUAGAAAUAGGUGCUAAUACCGCAUAACAACAGAAAGCGCAUUCUUUUUGUUUGAAAACCAAGGUGGUAUGGGAUGGACCCGCGUCUGAUUAGCUGGUUGGCGGGGUAAAGGCCCACCAAGGCGACGAUCAGUAGCCGGCCUGAGAGGGUGGACGGCCACAUUGGGACUGAGACACGGCCCAAACUCCUACGGGAGGCAGCAGUGGGGAAUAUUGCACAGUGGGGGAAACCCUGAUGCAGCGACGCCGCGUGAGUGAAGAAGUAAUUCGUUAUGUAAAGCUCUAUCAGCAGGGAAGAAAAUGACGGUACCUGAGUAAGACGCCCCGGCUAACUACGUGCCAGCAGCCGCGGUAAUACGUAGGGGGCAAGCGUUAUCCAGGAU